UGGGGAAUAUUGGACAAUGGGCGCAAGCCUGAUCCAGCAAUGCCGCGUGUGUGAAGAAGGCCUUCGGGUUGUAAAGCACUUUUAUCAGGAGCGAAACGCUGUCGGCUAAUACCCGGCGGAACUGACGGUACCUGAGGAAUAAGCACCGGCUAACUUCGUGCCAGCAGCCGCGGUAAUACGAAGGGUGCAAGCGUUAAUCGGAAUUACUGGGCGUAAAGCGUGCGUAGGCGGUUUCUUAAGUCUGCUGUGAAAUCCCCGGGCUCAACCUGGGAAUGGCAGUGGAUACUGGGAGGCUAGAGUGUGUCAGAGGGUGGUGGAAUUCCCGGUGUAGCGGUGAAAUGCGUAGAGAUCGGGAGGAACAUCAGUGGCGAAGGCGGCCACCUGGGACAACACUGACGCUGAGGCACGAAAGCGUGGGGAGCAAACAGGAUUAGAUACCCUGGUAGUCCACGCCCUAAACGAUGCGAACUGGAUGUUGGUCUCAACUCGGAG
rnacentral:rRNA from 1 species